CUGUAGGGAGGGAUUUGAUCAGUUAGGCUGCUGGCUCUUUUACAGGAAUUAUCUGCUCCUGCUAUAACCAAAGCCCCACUGUAUGGUGCUAAAG
rnacentral:pre_miRNA from 1 species